GAUGAACGCUGGCGGCGUGCUUAACACAUGCAAGUCGAACGGUGAAGCAGAGCUUGCUCUGUGGAUCAGUGGCGAACGGGUGAGUAACACGUGAGCAACCUGCCCCUGACUCUGGGAUAAGCGCUGGAAACGGCGACUAAUACUGGAUAUGAGCUGCGACCGCAUGGUCAGCAGUUGGAAAGAUUUUUCGGUCUGGGAUGGGCUCACGGCUUAUCAGCUUGUUGGUGAGGUAGUGGCUCACCAAGGCGUCGACGGGUAGCCGGCCUGAGAGGGUGACCGGCCACACUGGGACUGAGACACGGCCCAGACUCCUACGGGAGGCAGCAGUGGGGAAUAUUGCACAAUGGGCGAAAGCCUGAUGCAGCAACGCCGCGUGAGGGAUGACGGCCUUCGGGUUGUAAACCUCUUUUAGCAGGGAAGAAGCGAAAGUGACGGUACCUGCAGAAAAAGCGCCGGCUAACUACGUG
rnacentral:rRNA from 1 species